GGGAGGGAGGGGGAGCAGUGAUAUAAAGGGAACGGCUGGGAAGUUGGUGCGGAGAUCGCUGCUGACGCUGCAGCUGACGGCAUGCUCCCGGUGACUCUCCUCCUCGCCCCGUUCCUGAUUCCGGGGGUCUCAGCACAAUGGGGACGGACCCCCGCCUGUACCGGCGCCACCGAGUGUUUUUCCUACGUGACCCUCUGCCGAGACACGGAAUACGAGGUAGGUGC